UACGAAGGGGGCUAGCGUUGCUCGGAAUUACUGGGCGUAAAGCGCACGUAGGCGGCUUUCUAAGUCGGGGGUGAAAUCCUGGAGCUCAACUCCAGAACUGCCUUCGAUACUGGAGAGCUUGAGUCCGGGAGAGGUGAGUGGAACUGCGAGUGUAGAGGUGAAAUUCGUAGAUAUUCGCAAGAACACCAGUGGCGAAGGCGGCUCACUGGCCCGGGUACUGACGCUGAGGUGACGAAAGCGUGGGGAGCAAACAGG
rnacentral:rRNA from 1 species